AUGCAGGCCAAACAACAGUAACCUGGUUACUGGGCACCAAAGCCAGCUUCUCCUUAGAAACCUCAACCCUGGAAUAAGAAGUCAGGGCAGUGGGAUGUAUUCUUGUUAUAGGGCACAAGCUGUUCUGAAAUUAAAAGAAUGAGGUUGGUCUUAAAAUCUGGGAUCCAGUUAUGGGGACAACCCCCCAGCCAAGAGGGGGGCUCCAAGGCCCAGAGCACGUGUAGCCCCGAUGGGAGGCUGGGGGCCUCCACCUAGCAUCAGACCAACAAGGAAGCUGUUCGAACUGAUGGAGACAUUCCCAGUACAGAGCCAAGCAGAGCCGGUAUGUCAAGGAGGCUCCACCUGGGGCCUCUCCGAACAGCCUGUCCUCACUGUUUCUCAUCAGAUGCUGGCCCUGGGCCUGGCCAUGAAAACCAGGAGAAUGCAAAGCAUGUAACAUCUCACUUAGAGCUGACGCAGAAGGGAAGUGACUCUGAAAUAUAGACCCUCUUGGCCUCUGGGGGAGAUUUAUGUGGCGAGGAUCACGCUCCUCAGAGAAAGACUGCAGCUCUACAUCAGAUCAUCAAGCGUUAGAUUCCGGAGGUUGGGGACCCCUGCCUUAUGCAAUUGCUCUUGCAGCUGCACCGGAAGAAGCUCAGAGAGAACAGGAAGUGUGUUGUCUACAGUAACACCUUGUUUGUCAAAUAAUAGUAAAGG
ensembl:lncRNA